rnacentral:antisense_RNA from 1 species
ACUCGCCUCGAUCAUGUGUGACUGAGUAUUGGUGCUAAUCACCCGCCAGCAAAAUGUUUUUGCUGGCUUUUU